UGCAGCACAACUCUUGGCCCAUUGGCCAUCCACUCUCACAAAUCCCAUCCUCCUAAGAGAGUGGUUGUUGUAGGUGUCAGUGUAUGAUAGCCUACAAACAGCCUCUCCAUCAAAAUUGACUCCAUCCUCUCUAAAGAUAACUGUGAGGGCCAUACCAUAGGGCAAGGGAGCCUUGGACCUGUUCAAGGCUUCCCUUAUAGCAU
rnacentral:lncRNA from 1 species